ensembl:lncRNA
AAUCUAGAAUGAAACCUUUCAUGUUCAACAUAUUCUCUUCUAAGUAUCUUUGGCAACAAGAGAUGCAGAAUUACUGAGGAGUUCUGCUCUGAAUGCUUCAACUUCCCGGUCAUCAGCCUGUGAAAGAAGGCUGCAAGUGCUGGUGCAAUGGAAAUAAGUGUGAGGGGAACAUUUCUUCUGAAGGUAGAGGCCCAAGUCCAGAAGGGACAGUGAGCUCAGGUCACUACUCCUCUCAUCUUGGUAAGAAAAAUCUCUAAGGGAAUUACAGAGGAGGCCUGCCCUUCCCAUGGUGGCACUGAAGCGUUGGGCUGUACUUGAAGCUCCCCAAUGCCAGCCUGCUGUGCCAGGGACCUGUGCUGUGCAAAAACUCUGGAAGUGCAAAGAGGAUUUAACUACAGUCCACGGCAGCUGGUGCAUGCAACAGAA